UAAUACAUGCAAGUCGAACGGAGAUUAAGUAGCUUGCUAUUUAAUCUUAGUGGCGCACGGGUGAGUAAUAUAUAGCUAAUCUGCCCUACACUAGAGGACAACAGUUGGAAACGACUGCUAAUACUCUAUACUCCUUCUAAGCAUAAGCUUAGUCGGGAAAGUUAAUAAAAUUUGCUUUUUGGUUUCAUCUUGAGAGAUAUGGACGUAUAACAACUAAAUUGAUACGCCGAUGUGGCAAACAUCGGUGUGCUUUAGGUGGGUCAAGGGAGCGCUUGCGCUUCUUGUCGCAAAGAAAGGCUUUGCCUUUCUGCGAAGUCCGUAUUUGUCAAGAUGAAAUCUUGCAAAUGUAUUUUUUCGGUGUAGGAUGAGGCUAUAUCGUAUCAGCUAGUUGGUGAGGUAAUGGCUCACCAAGGCUAUGACGCGUAACUGGUCUGAGAGGAUGAUCAGUCACACUGGAACUGAGACACGGUCCAGACUCCUACGGGAGGCAGCAGUAGGGAAUAUUGCUCAAUGGGGGAAACCCUGAAGCAGCAACGCCGCGUGGAGGAUGACACUUUUCGGAGCGUAAACUCCUUUUCUUGGGAAAGAAUUAUGACGGUACCCAAGGAAUAAGCACCGGCUAACUCCGUGCCAGCAGCCGCGGUAAUACGGAGGG
rnacentral:rRNA from 1 species